GCCGGGUGCGGUGGCGCGCACCUGUAAUCCAAGCUACUGGGAGGCUGAGGCUGGCGGAUCGUUUGAGCUCAGGAGCUCUGAGCUGCAGUGGACUAUGCCGAUCGGGUGUCCGCACUAAGUUCGGUAUCGAUAUGGUGCUCCUGAGGGAGCUCGGGACCACCAGGUCGCCUAAGGAGGGGUGCACCGGCCCAGGCCGGAAACGGAGCAGGUCAAAGCCCCCGUGCCGCUCAGUAGUGGGAUCGCGCCUGUGAAUAGACGCUGUAGUUCAGCCUGAGUAAUACAGCGGGACCCAGUCUUUU
ensembl:misc_RNA Metazoa_SRP Metazoan signal recognition particle RNA